rnacentral:piRNA from 1 species
UNGGAUGCAGCCUCUCUGUAGGAAUAUUGU